rnacentral:rRNA from 1 species
UACGUAGGUGGCAAGCGUUGUCCGGAAUUAUUGGGCGUAAAGCGCGCGCAGGUGGUUUCUUAAGUCUGAUGUGAAAGCCCACGGCUCAACCGUGGAGGGUCAUUGGAAACUGGGGAACUUGAGUGCAGGAGAGAAGAGUGGAAUUCCACGUGUAGCGGUGAAAUGCGUAGAGAUGUGGAGGAACACCAGUGGCGAAGGCGACUCUUUGGCCUGUAACUGACACUCAGGGACGAAAGCUAGGGGAGCGAAUGGG